CGCUGGCGGCAGGCCUCAAACAUGCAAGUCUAGGGGGGUGUAGCAAUACAUCACCGGCGGACGGGUGCGUAACGCGUGGGAAUAUACCUAUUGGUUCGGAACAACACAGGGAAACUUGUGCUAAUACCGAAUGUGCCCUUACGGGGGAAAGAUUUUAUCGCCAAUGGAUUAGCCCGCGUCCGAUUAGCUAGUUGGUGAGGUAACGGCUCACCAAGGCUCCGAUCGGUAGCUGUUCUGAGAGGAAGAUCAGCCACACUGGGACUGAGACACGGCCCAGACUCCUACGGGAGGCAGCAGUUGGGAAUCUUGGACAAUGGGGGAAACCCUGAUCCAGCCAUGCCGCGUGAGUGAUGAAGGCCUUCGGGUUGUAAAACUCUUUCGACGGGGACGAUAAUGACGGUACCCGUAGAAGAAGCUCCGGCUAACUUCGUG
rnacentral:rRNA from 1 species